CCUACGGGUGGCAGCAGUGAGGAAUAUUGGUCAAUGGACGAGAGUCUGAACCAACCAAGUAGCGUGAAGGAUGACUGCCCUAUGGGUUGUAAACUUCUUUUAUAUGGGAAUAAAAUGUUCCACGUGUGGGAUUUUGUAUGUACCAUAUGAAUAAGGAUCGGCUAACUCCGUGCCAGCAGCCGCGGUAAUACGGAGGAUCCGAGCGUUAUCCGGAUUUAUUGGGUUGAAAGGGAGCGUAGGUGGAUUGUUAAGUCAGUUGGGAAAGUUUGCGGCUCAACCGUAAAAUUGCAGUUGAAACUGGCAGUCUUGAGUACAGUAGAGGUGGGCGGAAUUCGUGGUGUAGCGGUGAAAUGCUUAGAUAUCACGAAGAACUCCGAUUGCGAAGGCAGCUCACUGGACUGAAACUGACACUGAGGCUCGAAAGUGUGGGUAUCAAACAGGAUUAGAUACCCUAGUAGUC
rnacentral:rRNA from 1 species